rnacentral:rRNA from 1 species
UACGUAGGGAGCAAGCGUUGUCCGGAAUCAUUGGGCGUAAAGCGCGCGUAGGUGGCCACAUAAGUCCGUUGUGAAAGUCAAAGGCUCAACCUUUGAAAGCCGAUGGAUGCUGUGUGGCUAGAGUACGGAAGAGGCGAGUGGAAUUCCUGGUGUAGCGGUGGAAUGCGCAGAUAUCAGGAGGAACACCAAUAGCGAAGGCAGCUCGCUGGGACGUUACUGACACUGAGGCGCGAAAGCGUGGGGAGCGAACAGG